UUUCAAACAAAAACUAAAACUUUAAACUCAAGAAAAAUAAUAUAAAGUAUUUACUACAAGAGCAAGAUUAUUUAAAUGCCAAUAAUAAAUUUAGGGUGUUACAUCUUUGUCAAAGACUUUGUAACUUAUUGAUGUCCAUGUUGUUGUAGUUCAAACCUGCGGAGAUUAACGACAUCCUGAAUGAUUUUAAUGAGCCCGAUUCACCUGCUCCAACUGGCCUACAUUUUGGUGGCAUAAAGUACAUGGUCAUUCGAGGGGAAGAACGGGUCGUAGCUUGAGUAACGAAGGAUGGCUGAUGAAACUUGUGAUUGAAGACUACAGUUUAUGUAGCAAAUGACCUUCUCACGUGGUCUAAUCAGGUCGCAAUGUUUUUUGUCGGGGACUACGAUAAAUGAAGCUGACAAUUUAUACCUUGAUUGACCUUUAAGUAGAUGCAUCACAGUUUAUUAAUAUGUAAAUAGGUAUGUUGUAAACCCCUGGACAUCCUGUAAAACUUGGUUCCUUAGUGAAUAGUACCAAGCAAUUAGUUUAUUUGUUGUGCAUUGCUUACUCUCUUUAUACUUCUUUAGGUUUUGAGUUGUUGGUAAGUUCAGAUUUCAAAUUUGCACAAACAUGCAAAUAUACCAAUAUUCAAUAUAUAAUGUUAAUAAUUAUAGAUCUC